rnacentral:rRNA from 1 species
UACGGAGGAUGCGAGCGUUAUCCGGAUUUAUUGGGUUUAAAGGGUGCGUAGGCGGUAUUUUAAGCUAGUGGUAAAACGUCGGGGCUUCACCUUGAUUGGCCAUUAAAACUGGAGUACUAGAGUACAGACGAGGUAGGCGGAAUAAGUUAAGUAGCGGUGAAAUGCUUAGAUAUAACUUAGAACCCCGAUAGCGAAGGCAGCUUACCAGACUGUUACUGACGCUGAAGCACGAGAGCGUGGGUAGCGAACAGG